rnacentral:misc_RNA from 1 species
GUAGGACGUGAUUCAGUUUUCAUGGAAAUAUUCAUUUUCGGGUGUUCGACUUCAGUUUGGAAAUAUGAAAAGGCACAGUUUGGUGCAUUCAGAUGAUAAAGCUUUAUGACAUUAAUUACAAAUGGCAUAAGAAAGAAGCAAAUAUUAGUUAUAUUUAGAACCUAUAACAGAAAAUAAUUUAAGUAAAACAGUUGAUAUAAAAAGCUGUAUAUAAUUAAAAGUUGUUAGUUUCAUCGCAAUGAAUGUAAACAUGUGAUCAUUCGUUCAAAAACAAUAACACACGUGAUCCUAGAUUUUGCAGUCAUCGGGAGAACAAAUCCUUCAUGCAAACUGCACCUACUAUCAAGAAGAAGAAGAUCCUAGAUUUGGGCAUGGUAGAUGAUACAGAAAGCAGUACAAUGUCUGUCACAAAUCCUUUUACUGCGGCAGCAUUAAGACCACAAGUCAGUAGAAUAAAUAUGCCUGGAAGAUCGACCCCAGCCAGCAUACUAGCAGAUUCGUUCUUGGCUCCUGAAAACUAUCUUUACUUACCAGAUGUACCAAGAAUAACUCCAGACAAUAAUGAUGAAGGUCUCCAGACACUAGCAAUUUUAGCUAAAGAGAACCUUCAUCGUGAAUAUUUUAAAAUAAACUCGGCUCUCCAGAAAAAAUGUGAAUAUAUGAAGCGAAGUUUAAAUAUUGAGGACCUAAAUUAUCUGAAGCCUUCAAACAAGAAAGGAAAAGGAGAAAAUUACUGCAGGAUUAUUGAAAUCAAUCAAACACAACGUUCAAACUUAUCAGAAGCCCUUCUGCCUGCUUCUCUUUCACCUCCACACAUUCAAAGUUCUGACUUCUCAACUAGUGUACCAACAUAUACUCAAACAUAUUUACCAGCUGCAGAACAAACACCAAAAUCAUUGAAUUCUGUACUUGCUGCAGAACUGGAGGAAAUUUAUGAAUCUCAAGCAAGCAUUUCUGAUUGGCAAAAAAGAAGAAAAAAUAGUGAGAUUAAAUGGGGAGAACGUAGGUCAAUGUUGUUUAGCUGGACAUUGUCAAAGUUGGGUGUUCCAGAUAAAGGCAAAUGUUGUGUACAAUGUAGAAGUUGUGAGGCAAGCAUAAAAUGUGAAGACUGCUUUCAUUUUUUGUGUCAUAAAUGUGAUCAGCAGCAGCAUUUUGUAAUGCCUUUCCACCAGCGAUUCUGCUGGAAAAAUGGGUUCUUCGAGCCUUUAGACCCAACACAAACUGUGUGUUCAGAUGGGAAUGUCAUUCACUGGAAGCCUGUUGUACCAGCACAUCCACCUAAUUCCUGCCCAAACUGCAGUGAGAGCAAGUUCACAACUUUAAGCUCCAAUAAUUUGUGCAUCUUUGUAACUUUAAGUGGAAGGUAUGAUCUGUAUACCCCAAUAUUUAGGUGCAAGUGCGGAUAUGUAGAUGAAGAACUUGGGAAAGCCAUGCACCAGUCUGGUUUUUAUUCAACUGGAAGAAAUAGUAGCACUUUCUACAGCAUAAAUCUAUUGGAUUCCUGGCAUUUUCUCAAGAGAAGCAGCCCUGGAACUUCUCUUCAGGCAUUAGUUAGUGCACUGGAAUUAUUUGGUGCUUCUCGAGGGCGUCAUGGUCCCAUCAAUUUUGAGACAACAAAAAGAGUCUUCUUUGAAUGGCGUUUCCAUCAGUAUGAACUUGGGAGAAUAAAAGGAGAAUUUGACAAGGGGUGCCCUGCAUGUGAUACAACACCUGUGGCUGUACAUAUUGAUGGCAACAAGAAACUGUAUCGUUACAACAAAGUUGGGAGAGGGAUCAGAAACUCAUAUUAUUCUGGUGGUAUCUUCGCUUGUGACAAAGAAGUUCAAGAUCACGUUUCCACUAUUCAGAACCUUAAAACUCAAAGUAGCCAUAUGUGUGGAGUGUCGACAUUGAAAGCUGCCAAAAAUAAACCUGUUUCAUUUAGAAGUUUGGAUGAAACUGGCAUAAGCAUGGCUUCCUGUCGACAUGGAAUUAUUCUUGCUGCAUUAAAUAUGUAUCAGGGAGAGCUCUACAGUUAUGCCCACUAUUUGCAAAUGAACCGUUUACAAAAUGUGUCCUUCAUAUGCCAGGAUAUCAUCUGUAAAUACUGGCCAUGGGCCUUAAAGAUUUCAUCAAGAGAACAGAAGUUCUCACUUAGGCAAGGAAAGCCUUUUUUAGGAGUCCUACAUGCCAAAGGACAUUCUUGGUAUUGUCAGGUUUUGUAUGGAGGGCGGUGGCAAGAAGGAAGUGGCCUGACAUCUGGGGAGGAGGCAGAGCAAGUAUUUUCCUACCUUUCAAGAUAUAACAACAACACUAAGAACAUGCUUAAAGCUGAGCGUACAGAAGAACUGACAGAGGGGGCACUCUUUUGGAAUCACAGAAAAAUUAAUGGAAUGCCUCGGGCAUUAGUUGCCAGAUUCAGAAAGUGUCCCUGACUGAAAAAAGAAGUGCAGUGGAAAAGUUUGAGCUCCAGAAGAGAUGUAGAGAGGAGGAAUCACUAACCAUUCAAGAAAUGAUAACAUGGUUACAGUACUACAAAAAGAAAAGGGACAAACUAUCCGAGUAUAUUCAAGAAUUACAAUGUGAUUCUUUCCCUUCAUGUCUCUGCAAGGAUUCUAACACGUACACCAUUGAAAACCCAAUUCUGUCAGAAGAAGAGAAACGUGGAUUAUUGGCUCUUCUCAAGCAGGGUCAAAAGGAAUGUGCUGACAAGCUUACUGAAGCCAAACAUUUAUUUAGUUCCUACCAGCCAAAUGAGGUCUAUGAGCCUUUCUUGGAGCUCUUAGAAAGUGAUGAAGAUGAAGACAUGUAUUUACAAAAUGAAUAGAUACAAAUGAACAAAUCCACAAGGGCCAUGAUGAAUUUUGAAUUUGUUGAAUUUUGUUGUUCAUUUAUAAGCCCAUUAUGUGCCUCUAAAAAUUUCCACUGCCACUCACAGGAUGGGUAUGUUGUGCAUAAUAAAUAAACUAAACUAAUAUUUUAUAUGCAUAUACUUUUGUCUUUUAAUACAAUAAAACUGGAUUAUAUUAAAAUAUUUUCCU